UACGUAGGGGGCUAGCGUUGUCCGGAAUCAUUGGGCGUAAAGAGCGUGUAGGCGGUCCGGUAAGUCCGCUGUGAAAGUCGGGGGCUCAACCCUCGGAUGCCGGUGGAUACUGUCGGGCUUGAGUACGGAAGAGGCGAGUGGAAUUCCUGGUGUAGCGGUGAAAUGCGCAGAUAUCCGGAGGAACACCGGUGGCGAAGGCGGCUUCCUGGACCGACACUGACGCUGAGGCGCGAAAGCUAGGGGAGCAAACGGG
rnacentral:rRNA from 1 species